ensembl:lncRNA
CUUAGAAAAUAUCGUGUACUCAGCAUGCACUUCAGGAUUUCAUUUCCUUCCGCAAAGGUUGUGAAGGAUGUAGUCAACAAGAUUUGCUGUGAACAAGCACCUGAGCACAGUGCAGAACCAGAGAAAGAGAAUGCUUUGAAGCAGCAGAGAUACGUGGAGUUAGGAAAGGGACAGAAAGCCUUGUAUGCAUUUACAGCCUAAAGAAUGGUUUUGAUGAGGAAGACAGAGGACCUGACUCACCUCUGUUACCUUUACAUCAGCACGUGGUAUGUGCACAGCUCUGCCACCCUACUGAUGGAAAUGACUGCAUUAGGUGUAGGGCUGAGAGCUGCUCUGAGAGGUCAAGGACCUCUAGCACAGGCACGCACAUUUGACGCACCACCCAUUGCUGGGGUGUCUCCUUGAACGUGCUUUUUUCUACACCAUAGACUGGUAUUUUCUACAGAACGAACACAAAGAUCGUCUGGUGAAAUCCUUUCCUCCCAUUUACAGUUGCACACCGUCCAGGUAUUGCUCUUCAGGUGGCAGCCUAAAGGUCAGUUGUCUGAGGACACAACAGAUCCGAGUGUCCCACUGGAUAUGUACCAUCUUAAAGGCUCACUGUGAAAUCUGUUGAGCUGGGGAAGCUCAAUGAGUUCAUCUGGCACUCCUUCCUAACAGCCUGUCUGUCACUUGCUGGUGACCAAGAGAGCUUGGAAAUGCCAUCUGUGAGAGGGCUUAUGCCCCACCUUGGAUGGAAAGUGCUGAGCUUGUCCCUCCAUGAGAAGGUGUUCCCCAAGGACCUACUCUGAAAUCUGUAAUGCUAUGGACGCUAAAUUGGGUCAAAUGUUUGUGCUUCUUCCCAGUGUUUUAACUCACUGCCAUUUUCUUGCUUUUAGAGAAGCAGUUAGAAAAAAACUACCCCUUUUUUUAUGUGUGUGUGUGUAUGAGUGCUCUCCAAAGUAAUGGUGGUGGCACUGGUGUACUUACGUGGCACCAGAAAAUCAUGAUAAUCCUUUCAGUACAGGAUAAUUAUUUGGCUUUACUGCUGUAUCCCUUGUAGCUGGAUAUCCAUUUUCCUUUGCUAACAUAUGCUUGUCCUGUUCAAUAGCAAUUUGUUCUGAAAAUGCUUGCAUGCCUGCUGGGCAAGCUACAUGAAUCCAGUGCAGACUCCUUUUUUGCACCUAAAAAUUAUUAUGUGGAAAACCAUUUGCAAAAUGUGAGGCAUUCAGAAGGCUGCGUGCAGUUUUUCCAGGAGAAGCCGAGGGACAUUGGAAAAUCUAGACUUUAAUUUGUAGGGUACAAUAAAUUGUAGUCAGAUGAAUAAGUCCGUAUCUGCCUCAGCACAUUCUGGAUUACUUCGGUAUUACACAAACAAACUAAUUGCACAGCCUGCAGAAUAAUCACAUCUGUUCACCCGUAACAACACAGCUCAAUCUCGGUUUCAUGGCUUAAAAUAAUGCUCCUUGCUUUCAUAUGCUUCCUCAUAUUACCAGCUGCAAGUCUCUCUGAACCAGCAUGGCUCCUGAGGUAAUUGGUAGUAACACUUGUGUAUAAAGAUGUCAAAGCGCUGCUUGUUGGAGCUCAGCUUCAGGAAAGUGGAACUCUCUGCUUCGAUUCUUAGCUCUUUCACUAACUUGGCUAAGUCCAAAAAGGAAGGAAAACCAAACGAGAGCAGGUGGCACCACAGCCAGCCUGAGAGCCAACCUAAAGUAGUUUUUUUAAGGUAUUUUGAGAUCCUCGUGUUAGCAGCUCGUGCUUGUAAGGUGUGGGCAGAGCAGUGCUUGACAACGUGGGCAGGCUUGUCUGCAAGCAAGGGACUCCCACAUCAGAAAACGGAGGAUGUUUUGCUUUUAGUCUUCAUUGAGAUGGGAGGUGGGAAAUAAAUAAAGAGCUGAUACAGCAUCAGUAUGAGAAGCUUUUCUUGCUGGGUAGCUGACAGGUGCCCCAGAGGCUGGGCUGGAAGCACUGUUCCCAGGCACAGGUCUCAUCUGCUCAUUAGCAAUGACAGAAGCACCGAGCCGUGUCAUGCAGGGCAGUGUACCGGGCAGGGCCUCCUGCUCUGUAUGCUCAAACUUAACACUGCAUUGUCGUCCAGAGGACUCGGUGGAGGCGCAGCCAGCAGUCUCCUGGAGGGCUGUGGCUGUGGCUAUGAUGGUCGGCCUUGGGAUGACCAAAGAGACCAUCACUGCGUGUUCUCACGUUGCGCGGGUAGGAGCAGGACGAGUCAUUUCUUGAGGCUAGACAGGUGAGAGUGGCCAGGAUUUGUUUCCUAACGUCCGUCGUGCAGGUCAGAUGGGUCGGAACGCCUCCCCCAUCACGCUAAACCUCAUCUCGCCCAACCGAGACCUCAGUCCCACUCCCCCGCGUCCGGCCCUGCGGAGGUUCUCCGGCUGCCGCCGGUGCCACCCGCUCGGCCCCGGGCCGGCUGCGUGCCGUUGGCACCUCAGCGGGCAGGGCACCGCCGGCAGCCGCGCUUUGCUGACUGCUCCGUUUCAUUUCCUUACUUCGCAACUUGUAGCAGUAAGUUUCUGAAGAGAAACCCGUCUCCAAACCCAGCCACGCGCACCCGUCUGCGCGUCUGUUUUACACCCGAACGGCUCGGAGACGGCCCUCCUGCCCUGCCGCCCUGCCCCCGAGGCCGCGGGGUCCCGCCGAGCCCUUUGUCCCCGCGCCGCUCGGAUGGAUGCUGUCACGCUCGCGCGGCUGCCAUGAUCCCGCCCGGCGCGUCCCCGCACCACGCGGCCGUGCCGCACCUCGCGCUCCGCGAAGGCAAAC